GCCAGACUCCUACGGGAGGCAGCAGUGGGGAAUAUUGCACAAUGGGGGAAACCCUGAUGCAGCGACGCCGCGUGAGUGAAGAAGUAUUUCGGUAUGUAAAGCUCUAUCAGCAGGGAAGAGAAUGACGGUACCUGACUAAGAAGCCCCGGCUAACUACGUGCCAGCAGCCGCGGUAAUACGUAGGGGGCGAGCGUUAUCCGGAUUUACUGGGUGUAAAGGGAGCGUAGACGGCUGGUCAAGUCUGAAGUGAAAGCCCGGGGCUUAACCCCGGAACGGCUUUGGAAACUGAGCAGCUAGAGUGCUGGAGAGGUAAGCGGAAUUCCUAGUGUAGCGGUGAAAUGCGUAGAUAUUAGGAGGAACACCAGUGGCGAAGGCGGCUUACUGGACAGUAACUGACGUUGAGGCUCGAAAGCGUGGGGAGCAAACAGGAUUAGAUACCCCUGUA
rnacentral:rRNA from 1 species